UACGAAGGGGGCUAGCGUUGUUCGGAAUUACUGGGCGUAAAGCGCACGUAGGCGGAUAUUUAAGUCAGGGGUGAAAUCCCAGAGCUCAACUCUGGAACUGCCUUUGAUACUGGGUAUCUUGAGUAUGGAAGAGGUAAGUGGAAUUGCGAGUGUAGAGGUGAAAUUCGUAGAUAUUCGCAGGAACACCAGUGGCGAAGGCGGCUUACUGGUCCAUA
rnacentral:rRNA from 1 species